UCUCGAUUGGUCUAGUGGUAAGGAUACCUGCUUGUCACGGAACAAUCCGCAGGUGGCCGGGGUUCGAUUCCCCGAUCGAGAG
rnacentral:tRNA from 1 species